GUCCACGCCGUAAACGAUGAGUGCUAAGUGUUAGGGGGUUUCCACCCCUUAGUGCUGCAGCUAACGCAUUAAGCACUCCGCCUGGGGAGUACGGUCGCAAGACUGAAACUCAAAGGAAUUGACGGGGGCCCGCACAAGCGGUGGAGCAUGUGGUUUAAUUCGAAGCAACGCGAAGAACCUUACCAGGUCUUGACAUCCCGCUGACCGCUAUGGAGACAUAGUCUUCCCUUCGGGGACAGCGGUGACAGGUGGUGCAUGGUUGUCGU
rnacentral:rRNA from 1 species